UUCAUUUGUGGCGUAAGCAGUUUCUGGUCACCAUGCGCGUGCGCGUAUGGCUGCUUCUCUGCCUUCUCGCUAUUGGCAUUCAGGCGUACCACGUUGGUUCUUCUAGCUCUUCGGAUGACGUAAACCCACGAACAAACCACGGUGUAAAAAAGUUAUCCUUGGCCAGCGCCUUUUUUAGCUUAGCCUCGAUCAUAAAAAAUGCUCUACUCGUCAUAAUGAGCGGAAAGAAAAUACAUGAAGAAGGAGCGGGGUAAUAAAUUGAGAGCAUUCUGGUACCUACUGCAUAAUCUUCUCUGAUAAAAAUAAAGUGUGCA